CCUACGGGGGGCAGCAGUCGAGAAUCAUUCACAAUGGGGGAAACCCUGAUGGUGCGACGCCGCGUGGGGGAAUGAAGGUCUUCGGAUUGUAAACCCCUGUCAUGUGGGAGCAAAUUAAAAAGAUAGUACCACAAGAGGAAGAGACGGCUAACUCUGUGCCAGCAGCCGCGGUAAUACAGAGGUCUCAAGCGUUGUUCGGAAUCACUGGGCGUAAGGGGUGCGUAGGCUGUUUCGUAAGUAGUGUGUGAAAGGCGCGGGCUCAACCCGCGGACGGCACAUGAUACUGCGGGACUAGAGUAAUGGAGGGGGAACCGGAAUUCUCGGUGUAGCAGUGAAAUGCGUAGAUAUCGGGAGGAACACUCGUGGCGAAGGCGGGUUCCUGGACAUUAACUGACGCUGAGGCACGAAGGCCAGGGGAGCGAAAGGGAUUAGAUACCCUAGUAGUC
rnacentral:rRNA from 1 species